AACGAACGCUGGCGGCAGGCUUAACACAUGCAAGUCGAACGCCCCGCAAGGGGAGUGGCAGACGGGUGAGUAACGCGUGGGAACAUACCCUUUUCUACGGAAUAGCUCUGGGAAACUGGAAUUAAUACCGUAUACGCCCUACGGGGGAAAGAUUUAUCGGGGAAGGAUUGGCCCGCGUUGGAUUAGCUAGUUGGUGGGGUAAAGGCCUACCAAGGCGACGAUCCAUAGCUGGUCUGAGAGGAUGAUCAGCCACAUUGGGACUGAGACACGGCCCAAACUCCUACGGGAGGCAGCAGUGGGGAAUAUUGGACAAUGGGCGCAAGGCUGAUCCAGCCAUGCCGCGUGAGUGAUGAAGGCCUUAGGGUUGUAAAGCUCUUUCAACGAUGAAGAUAAUGACGGUAGUCGGAGAAGAAGCCCCGGCUAACUUCGUG
rnacentral:rRNA from 1 species